rnacentral:rRNA from 1 species
AGAGUUUGAUUCUGGCUCAGAACUAACGCUGGCGGCGUGGCUAAGACAUGCAAGUCGAACGGACUAUAUGACUGAGUAAUCAUGAUUAUAGUUAGUGGCGAAAGGGCGAGGAAUAAAUAGGUAACGUACCCCAAACAUCGGAAUAGUGUCUGGAUGCUUGCAUCCUUCCGAAAGGGGCAGUAAUACCGUAUAAUAUCUUUUGGCAUAAGUCAAAAAAUCAAAGAUUUAUCGGUUUGGGAGCGGCCUAUUUCCCAUCAGCUUGUUGGUAAGGUAAUGGCUUACCAAGGCUACGACGGGUAUCGGGACUGAGAGGUUGACCCGACGCAUCGGAACUGAGACACUGUCCGGACCUCCACGGAGGGCUGCAGUAACGAAUAUUGCACAAUGGGCGAAAGCCUGAUGCAGCAACGCCGCGUGUAGGAUGAAGCUCCUCGGAGUGUAAACUACUGUCAGGGGCUAGAAAGUGCGCUUAGGCGUAUUGAUCACCCCCAGAGGAAGUCACGGCUAACUUCGUGCCAGCAGCCGCGGUAAUACGAAGGUGGCGAGCGUUGUUCGGAAUUAUUGGGCUUAAAGAGCACGUAGGCGGAUCAGAAAGUGUCUUGUGAAAACCCCCGGCUUAACCGGGGAAUAGCUUGGCAAACUUCUAGAUCUUGAGUCAAGUAGGGGUACAUGGAACUCUUAGUGGAGCGGUGGAAUGCGUAGAUAUUAAGAGGAACGCCAAUGGUGAAGACAGUGUACUGGGCUUGUACUGACGCUGAGGUGCGAAAGCGUGGGGAGCGAACGGGAUUAGAUACCCCGGUAGUCCACGCCGUAAACGAUGUCUACUAGGUUGU